rnacentral:lncRNA from 1 species
UUGAGACUGUUGGCUCAAGAUAAAAAUGAAGGCUGAGAGAUUUUUUUUUUGAUGCAGGAGGAGAGAGGCAGAGAGAGAGGAAGAAAAGUGAAGACUUUGGCAGAAAAUAUUUGGCAUCAAAAAAUCGCCUUAAAAAGUUCUGUUGAAAUUCAGAACACAGCAGCUAAUGAGUGAAUUGCAGUGGAAUGGCUGCUGGAAAUUGUCCAGAGGAAGCGCAACCAAGAGUAAAAAGGACCUGAAUGUCAAAUAGGCUGUGUCCUGCACUUUGGAAUAUUGCCUCCCUGCAGAGCACUGUGGAGGAAGGCACAUGGAGCUCCAUGUAGAAGCACGUUCGGGACACAGCAGCAGAAAUUUGAAAUAAAUGGACCACUAGAGGGCAUCUGCUCGUUCUCACAGCUGGAAUGGAAUCUUGUUCACCCCUGCAGAAUGUCAGCCCAGUAUUUACAGUUAAAGGUCAGGACUCCACUAUACCAGCAGACUGGCAGAUUCCCAACAGAAAGAACUCCCCACCUGGAGAACCUGCGAUCUGAAAGUCAGACAAGAAUCUCUGAACUGAGACACAGGUCUGUACAACAGCCAGAAACAAUGGGGUGCUUCUGCUUGGUGCUCCCUCAACAGACCUAAUGAAGAAGUAUAGAUUGGGAAUCUUAUUGUUGCUUUUUGAUGUAGUUUUGUGGAAAUGCAUCUCAGCAAAGCCCGGAGUUAAGAAUGAUAAGGGUGAGUGAAGGGAAUUAAUUAACCUGGUCGCACUUGUGUGGGAUGCAAGGGUGGAAUCUCAGUGAUGAAAA